rnacentral:lncRNA from 1 species
AGGGCACAAGGCCGGGGCUUUUGUGAGUGUCGUGGAUUUGUACCGGUCAUCAUCAUCAUCAUUGUCAUUUUUUUUUUUUUUUUUGUGCUGGGGAUGGAACCCAGUGUGCUGCCACCGACCUACACCCCGAGACCUCACCUUCUUUCCUUUUGCUCCAUAGUCUUUAAAGAGUUUAAAGUCACAAGUAGUUAAAGUAGGUCAUGGUGAUCAUCAGGUUUUUGUAGGGUGCCUGUGAUUUUGUAGGGUGCCAGGGUCCAGGACAAGGAGAACGUCCCAGUGCAGUAGUACCUGUUGCUUAUGGCAUAAAGUGUAACUUUGUCACAGGUCACGCCAGCCUCCAAACCAAACUGGCAGUCCCAGUUGACUGUAAGUGGCCUACUCAUUUCUGUUCCCCUCUGCCAUUCUGGAUACCAUGGGAAGAGCCGCAGGCCCCUCCUUUCCUGUUGUCUCGUGUAUCUAGCCUGGUUUGUUUACACAUGGAUGUUGUUUCUCUGUCGUUUGGAUAAUUUUCAGGUUCUAGAACAUUCUUUCUUCUUAUUAUUAUCAGUUCUUCAAGGUCCAGCUUAACUAUCAUCUCUUCCAGGAAGCCUUCCUCAAAUCUGCCCUUUUCCUUUCCAGCAGAUUUUCUCCUUUUCUGUCCACCUAGAGGACCAGGAGCAGCAGCAUGUGGGACUCUAUUUUCCUUGUAAUCUUCAUUUUCUCUGCUGAAUUGUUAAGAACCCAUAAGCUUAGGGACCGUGUGUGAUAUUAUUCUUGGUGCCCUUUCUGUAGGUUAUUCGGGAAGGUGUUGUUGCAGGAGAAUCAUGAAAUAAUUGAAUGGGUUUGGAUCUGAAUUUGGGUAUAGAAAGUAAUGUUCCUAAAUGUUUUGAACUUUGGAUGAAGAAACACGUAGUGGUGUUUUCUGAAGCCUGUAAUGGAAUCCUUUUGUGUGUUUAAUUGCUUUCAGUUAUUUUGAGUGGAAAUGUCAGGGUGCCAUAGGAACCAAAGCCAUGGGUCUGAGCCCAACCAAGAAGAGUAACCACUGAGCCCUGUGUUGGGAGCUCCAACUUCGGUGCUCCUCUGUGCAGCCUGGGUUUAGAGUUGUGAGAUGGGAUGUCAGGAGGUCAGGCCCCAGGACCAGCCAAGGAAGGAAGGUCUGGGUGUCUUCAAGGUCUCAGUGGAGAUCCCAGAGGAGGCAGAAGAGAGGGCUCAUUCGGGGCCUUGGAGAAGGCGUUGACUAAGGAGAGGGAACUUUUCUUUUCCCUUUAAAAAGAGUGGGUCAGAAGUUCCUCCAUGAGGGGCUCCCCAAAUCUCCUCUCAUGCCUCACCCACAGAUGAUUUGCUGAAUGCUCAUUAAGAGGAAAACAAAGAGGUGGUUUUGUUUAUUUAUUUAAGAGGAAAAAUAAAUGAGCUGUGACAAAACAGUUUGAAAUCAGGCCCCUCUGAGACCUGGGCUUUCACUUCCUUGAUGGGAAGUAAAACAGAGAAUUGAAUCCCCCUCCAAAUAAAAGUGGAGUUAAUAAUCAGACAGCUCGAGCCCUGGCCACAUCCUGUGUCAGCUCCCUCCCUCCCAGGCUCUCUGUUUAUAGCGCUGAGCCCUCCUUCCUUAGCCAGCCAGCUUAACCCUUUCCUCCCCUUCCCAGGGAAGCCCAGUCCUGCUCUGAGACCACAAGGAGGCUGCUCACACCCUCUGAGGUGGCCUAGCCCCAGCAGGGAUGGCUCUCCCCAGGCCUGCCCAUGUGGGCCUGUCCCCUGUGGGGCAGCACCUGCCUUUCAGCCUCUGGCUAAGUGUUUCAUAGGACCAGCUUGGAUUUGAGAGAGUUCCUCUGCUUGUCCUGCAGAAAACCCAGUGUCCCUUUUUCUCUCCUCCUCUUAGGGAAAAAACCAGAUAAACCCAUUCACCUUCCAGAUACCACAUAGUCUCAAUAACCUGGUGGCCCCUAGGAGCUGCGUUCUGGUGGAUACAGGCACAAACCUUUGGAGUUCAGGGCCUGUGUUGACGGUAGUACUCUGCAUGUCUCUGGGCUACUUCUGUGAAAACUUUCCACUUCCUUCAGAUGCCACUCCAUGUAGCAUGUUGAUUUCUUCCAGAAACCCAUCAGUAGGUGCACACCCCCAUUGAGUGCUAAGGUUAGCGAGGGCUUUCUGGUGUUCUAAGUUAUAACUCUGAUGUGUAGGCUGUUGUUAUCUUCACUUUACAGAGGAGGAAGUAGGGCUUAAGAACCUUGCUAAAUGUUGCAGAGCUAAUAAACAACAGAGUUAGGAUUUGAACCCAGGUACUCUGGCUCCAGAGCCUGUGUUCUUAGUUCCUGCAUUCAAGGUCUCACAGCCAGUAAUUGCUUUCUUUCCUGGAAACAGGAGGCUUUCUGAAGCUUAGGAGAACCUCAUGAAUGCAUUUCAGAGGUCCUAAAGACUAAGGAGCUUUUGAGAACAUUCUGGUUUUGUUUUGGUCUUUCCUCUUUUUCUUCUGUUUCAUCCUAGGGAAGGAGCCACAGAGAGCAGGUGUAGCUUUGGGCAACAUCUCCAUCCCAUCUCCUCCAAGUUCCCUGGAUGGUGGCACCAAGGAGAGGCUGGGAUGUGUCUCAAGGUUAGGAUGCUGCUUCCCUUCAUCCAGCUGCCCUCAGGUCUUAGAGCUAAGGACCCAAAGACUUGGCAUCAGUGGUCCAUGCUACCUUUACUUAUGUUCCCUUGUCCCCUCCAGUCUUGUCAUCUGUAUAUCCCUCAUCUGAAGUGACAAACAGGUCUUCUGGCUGAAGUUUGUCUCACAGGAAGUCACUCAUCUAGAUGAGGCAAGUGGCAAAGACAUGCCUUUUUUGGGGGGUUCCUUCCUCUGUUACUGGGAAGUGCAAUUUUGUGCAACUUUGAAGUGUAACUCUGGCCAGGUCACUUUGCCCAGUCAUGUGGCAGGUCCCUCGUACCUAUCAAGGCAUGUUGUGCAGCCUCCUGGUGUCUGGAGGCCUUCAUGGUCUGCUUGCCUUUGGGGAGCUGUUGCUCCCCUGUCCUUUUAGUGAGCACCUUAAGUGCUGUCUUUGGGAAUGAGUUGACUGCCGUAGGUCUCCUUUCUCCAGUCAUUUUGCCAUCCAAAGCCAUGGCUUUGAGUGGGGAGUGUCCUACUCCUUGUCUUCCAACUUUUUCACUGAUGGGGCUCCAUCCCAAGGGCCCCUGUGAGCAGGGGCUUCUCUGGGGAGGAAGAUGGUCAUGGCUUCUCUGGUACCCAGCAGGAGUCUGGCCCAGAGUUUUCAGAGUAGUAUGCCUUGAUUUUUAUUUUAUUUCAGUGUUUAAGAAAAGCAUCUAUAAUUCACACAGGGCUUCCAAGAUGGGGUGCUGUCUACCACAGCUCCUCAGGAAGCCUCUUAUCAGGCUCUGUUUAGCAUGCUUACUUGUAGCAGGUACUCAAUGCUAAUUUGUUUACCUUCACACUGUAGGACACGUGAUUCUCCCCAUUUUCUGGUGGAAGAAAGUGAGGUGAGGAAGGUCGAGUAGUUUGCCCACUGUUUAUAAUGACUUUCUGCUAAGGGGAAAAUGUUCAUGUGGUUUAAAAUUCAUUGAAACUAAUUUAUAAAUAAUCUUCACUAAACUUCAGAACAAUGUAAAGAUGGACUCUAGUCCCUGUGAAGGUUUUUCCCUAGCCCAGGUGGCCCUGCUGAGGGCUAAGACCCCAUUCUUGGUCCUCACAGAGGUGUGAGGAGGGGGCUUAAGGCGCUUUCUCCACCCUGGGUGGGGCCAUCCUGCUCUGUUCAUCCUGAGGGAUCUUCCCAUGGCCUCAUCUUUGUCUAGGAGCAUGUGUCUUAGGAAGUCAAUAUCGUGAUGCAAGAUCCAGUAAACAGGAAUCACCGAGUUAAAAUUGUUUUUCAGUUUUUAUGAGCUUAAAUGAUUACAGACAAUUUUAAACAGAACAAUUUUAAAUGAGAAGGAGACAGGUGAGCAUCUGUCUUGCCUUCAUCCAUUUGGUAGUAGUAUAUUGACCCCCUGGGACCAUUAUCCAGCUUCAGUGUCACCACUUUAUAGCCAGGCUUGUUCAUUUAUUUCAUUUAUACUACCAGCCAGCCGCCUCCUGCCUCCUGUAUAGGUUUUUGUUUGUUUGUUUGUUUUUUAAUGUGCAUGUGAUGUUGGGGAUGGAGCCCAGGACCUCACGCAUGCUAGGUAAGUUCUGUAUUACUGAGCUAUGUCCCUAUUCCUCUUCCCUACAGUUGAAGUACUCCUAUAUAUCAGAUAGUGGUGCUUCAUGUCAGCAUUUCAGUAUGUGUUUUUAAGAAAUGGACUUGUUACAUUUAGCUGCAUUAUCAUUAUUUCAUCUAAAAAUCAAGCAUACCUCCUAAACAGCAUCAAGAUUCAGUUAGUGUUCACAUUGCCAGAAAGCUUUGAACUCUUUGCUCUUCCACCCACUCAACGAUAAUAACAAACAGCCCUGAAACAAGAAUUUCUCAGCACUGGAUCACAUCCUCACAGAACAUAUUUCUGAAUUCGGGCAGAAACGCCCAGUUAUUAAGUGUUCGAGGGCAAGGACCACUUGGUAAGCCUCGUCCCACUGUAGCUCUGCUCGGCCAGCGCCUUGUGCAGCGUGGGUGCGAGGUCAGUUGAGCUGAGUUUCAUGUGAGCGUGAAUGCACGCAAGGGUGGGGAGCAGCCACGCUGAGCUAAUGCGGGCAGACUGGAGUACAGCCCCCUGCAUCCUCCCACCCACAGAUGCCUGGCUGCCAGGGGCUGUCCUUGGCUUUCCCGGCAUCCAGUGCUCUACCUGCCAGCUGCCUGGGCCUCCUCUGGGACCUCCUUCUCGCUCUUGCUUGGGAUACUUGACCAUGCUCCAGUGGCUCCAUGGAAUCCCUCUUUGUGGGGCCUCUGGCCUCCUUGGUUUUGCCAGUUGCUGCUUAACAUAUAACGAAAGUUGACGAGGUUGCUUUUUUGUGGGAGGGCUCACAUUCAUCCACAGUGUGCUGAGGGCUUUUGUUCAUCUGUCCUCACAGCCAUCCCAGGAGAUUGGUACCGUGGUUACUGUCAUUCACAGAGGAGACUGAGGGAGGGCAGGUAGGUCCCUUGUCUGCCCAGAAAGUGGCAGUGCCAGGAUUGAGUGUGGUCAGCCUGGACUUGGAGUUCAUUGCAACAUAUCAAUUCACUCAUUUAAGAAACUGCUAGGCAACUUGGCCUGGGACCAGGCCUUUUUCCUUUUGAGAGCAAAUCUUGACAAGUUGAGAUCUGCAGUCACCCUGUGUUUCCUGCUUCGUACGUGUCUCCCAGAACCAACAGACAUAGCGUAACCUUCACACACCCUUCUUAGGAGAUUAGCUCAGUAGAAUUGAAUAAAUUUUAGGUCAUUUAGCCUCUAAUUUCCUGAUUUGUCUUUUUUCAUGGUUAAAUAAUACUUUGAGUUAAGGAUUAUAAAACUGACAGGUUUAAAAGUUGGUAGGAAUGGGAAGAAACUGGAUUGAGUAUAUAAGGCCACAAAAUAGAUCUUAUCCCUUCUGCAUUUUUUUUUUUAUCACAUCUCUCAGUUUUUGAUAGAGGAAAAACAUGUCUUUCAGAAUGUAUAGAAUCAGGGUCAACUACUUAAGCAUUCUUGGAGGGAGGGGAAUUGCCUUGACCCUGUUUUCUUUGUCCCAGUUGAUCACAGUUCACCCCGUGUUGCUUCCCCUUAGCUAAAUUUUGGGGGAGCAGUUUUAGGUGGCUUUGUGAGCCCCCUGCCCAUUUGGAGGCUGCAUUGCCUCUGGGCUACACCAAAUGCUCACAGUUUACUGCCUUUGCUUCUAGGUGGUGCCUUGGUUUGCUUCAACUUUCUCCUAAUUCCUCCUGCUACCUUAGGGAAGUGGAAGAGUAGGCAGCGGUGGGUUUGUUAAAUACGGAAACUGGAAAAACCCAAGCAGACGCAGAGGAGAGGCACCCACAGGCCCACAAAUGAGAGGCAGCAGAGGUGGAUUAAGGCCCAGCCACGAGAGUGAGUGGACCGGUAUCUUCUCAAAGUCUUCAUGGGGUCUGUGUACACAAGGCCUUGAGGGUGAAUUCCAGAGCUGUUUGCCAAUUAUGCAAGGAGAAAGCUGGGGCUACCUGCAGACUCCCUGAGGAAUGCUUGGAAAUUCAUUUAAAUCCUGUAAGUUUUUUCCAAGGGUCGCAGUUGCUGGGAUUUCCCUGGCUUUGCCUGGGAGUGAUGUGCCAGUCUUCCACACACCCUGGCUUUUCUAGGUAUGUUGUGACUGUGGUGAGGUAGCGCUCAUGCACACAGAGGUGGCUGGGAUAGGCCUUUCCAUGGCAGAUGCAAAGCUGGUCACACAGCCACACCUCUUCCAUUACUUCUGCACAGGGCUCUGCCUAGAUUCUCUAGAGAGCCCUCUGUGGGGAACCAUGAUGAAAACGCCACAGUCUGGGGGUGAACUGGACUGGCUUGGGGCCUUGCCCCUGCAAAAGAUUAAUGGUGGGGAUGAAUUGGGAGGAUUACAGGAAAAAGGCAAGAAGGGGAGCCUGCUUUUCUAAGACUGUCCUUGCUCAGUGUUGGAAGAAUCUGAAAUCCACAGAAUGCCUUAAGACUCAGUUGUAGGCAUCUAGAACAUGGCGGCAUAUCGGGUUAAAGAUCACAGCAGUUGUUUCAAAUUCACUGCUGCCUUCUCUCCUGGGUUUCUAUAAUUUUUUUUUCUGGUGGUGUUUUAUUCUUGUCUAUUUUGGAAUAUUUAUAACUGCCUCUGCCUUUCUCUUCCUCCCCACAUCACUCUGCUUUCUUAGUAUAAUGUUUUCUUUUCUUUUGGCCUGCCUUACUUUACAUCUGGAUUCCUAGAUGAUGAUUUAUUUUGUCUGUUUCUUGAAUUUCUCUCCCGUUUCUUAGGAGUUUUUCGUUGUUCUUGUUUUUCCUGCUUCAGCUUCAGUUCUUUCCCCACAGCUUCUCUGGGGCCACACGGCUUUUAUUCUUGCUCAUCUGUUUAAGUGGUGCUGGCAGGGAGGAGGCCGCAGCCGGCAGGCAGGGCCCUGGCGGCAGAGGCGGCCCUGGGUGCCUAAAGACGCUCCUCCCAGCCCUGGUGCCCUGGAAGAGGAGCUCCUUCUGGGAGGUGCUGGGGACAGUGCUGCUCUCCCCUGUGAGGGUUGAUGCUGCCUGCCAGGCCUGGGCUGGGGGCUAAGGCAGAUGGUAUAUCCUCCUCAGUGUGUGGGCCUGGACCCCAUUGCUAGGGGAGGCAAUGGAAUCCAGCCUCUGGGUGGAUGGGUAGCGGGUGAUCCGGGCUCCAUGCAGAAAGGUGGGAGAUCAGAGGAGGUGCAACAUUGUGAGUGUGUCACUUGCAAAACUCUGUGCUGAGGGAGGGAGAACUCAUAGCAUUGGAGUCUUCCUCGUGGGGAGUUUGAGUAUCCUUAGAUCCUCUCUCAGGGUUUGAAGUUGGCCUGGCAUCUAGAUCUGUUUGCUGGGGACACAGAGGCAGUUUUCUAGUAGAAGGUUCUUCUUCCUUCCCAGUGUGUCCACCUUGGCCAGUGGGCAUUUGAGGGCAUAGAGGGAGUGCUAGAAGAAGCUGAUAAUUUUGGGGUGUCUUCAACACAUCCCACCUGUGGGAGGCCUGGGGGACAGCCUGGAGUCAGGUGGCACUUCUUGAUAGUGUAGUAGCAGAGAAAUCCUAGAAGUUGUAACCACACCCUUCCUUGUCUGGAGUGGUGGGGGAGUGGCCUGGGCCCUGCUCCCCAGCUGUCCGAAGCAAAUUGACUGAGUCCAUCUGGCUGUCCCCAGCACAGGCUUGCUUCCCAUCCUGGUGUCAGGGCUGUUGGGCCCUGGUUGAGUCAGCAGGCCCAGCUAAAGAGGCAGCUAGAUCGAGGCUCUGCCUGGGCAUACCUGGAGCUGAGUUGCAUUGGGGCUGGGGGGCCCAAGAGCACCUGGUGGACAUCUGUGGAUUCUCUUGCCUUCCCAGGCUCUGUGGUGAUGGUGGCCAUGGACUUCUCUGAUAAGUGCCAGCAAGGGCCCAGGCCAUCUCUGCAGGCACAUUGUGCUCUCUUUCUGGAUCCCAUCAGUUCUUCAUCAUCAUCCAUGUAUAAUGUUCUCUGCCACUUUACAAAGUGCUACUGAUUAAAAGGCUUGAGGUGCCAGGCCUGGUGGCACAUGCUUGUAAUCCCAGGAUGCUGAGGCAGGAGUAUGGCAAGUUCAAGGCCAGCCUCAGCAACUUAGUGAGACCCUGUCUCAGAAUAAAAAAUAAAAAGUGCUGGGGAUAUAGCUCAGUGGUAGAGCGCUCUUGGGUUCAAUCCCUAGUACCAAUAAAAUAAUAAAAUAAAAGGCUUGAGAGAUAUCUUGGCUUAUAUUUGUUUACCUUUUUUUUUUUUUAAGUCUUCAGCUUUGGAGUCCAACUCUUAGGAUUCAAAAUCCUUUAAGAUCCUAAAACCAUAAGCCUCAGAGGUCCCCAGGCCCUUGUUUUUAGGCCCUUAUCUCUGAUUCAAGGCAGAGCCUCCUUCCCUAAAUCUAUAUCAAAUAUAUAGAAUAUAGAUUCAAUAGAGGAAUGACUAGGGAUCAGCGGAUGAGUUUUCUUCUCAGUUAUUCUCCUCUGGCAGGAGGGCUGGGGCCUGGACCCAGCCUCUUUGGGAAUGCAGAUGGGGAUUAGGAUCCCAGCAGCCUCUUGCCAUCCUGCCUGAGGGCCCACCCCUAGCCAAGACCAAAGUGCAGGCUCUGUAAAUCUGUCUGUGUCAAUGUCUGUGCCUCCAUGUUCCUGCUACCUCCCCCCAUCCCCGCCUUGCCUCUUCCCACGCACCACGUUGUAUAAAUAUUUACACCCCCGGGCUGGCAGGAAUCUUUCUCCAGCUGCUUCCCAGUCUCUACAAGGGCUUGUUCUCUCACCAGCAGCUGCACCAGAUCUGGUUGCCUUUGGUCAGACAAGGCCAGGCCCUGGUUUGGGGGCCCACAGUCCCUCCCAGGGUGGAGGAUACAGUUGGUGGGAGAAACUCAGCAGUACAGAGGUCAGAGGGCCACAGCAAGGGCCCAGCCUUUCUGCCUUCUGGCUGUCCACAGGGGGAUUCUAGGGAGCUGUGGAUUCCUGCUGUGGCUGGGGACUUUCCUUCUUCCCAGGGUGGGGCUCUGGGGUCUGCUGCAUCUGGCCUUGCUAGAGAGCAGUGGAGAAUGUUCCAGAGCAAACUGACUGAUGCCAGGACAAAAGUCCUAACUGGAAUUCACUUGUAAGCAACUCCUAGUUUACUAGUGUGCCAUAUCUUCCAUCUGCCCUCACGACCCCUCCUCAGUUUAGGGCAAGAACCCUCUGAAACUGGGCUGAUAGCUCAGUGGUGGAAUUCUUGCCUAGCUGUGCCAGGCCCUGGGCUCAGUCCCGAGUACCACAAACAACAAACAAAAACCAUGGAGGAUCUCCAUAUUGGGCCUCUCCCUGCUUCCCUUGUUGGUUUCCCCUGCUUUCGCCUUUCGGGGGCCUGGGGAAGGAUUU